rnacentral:misc_RNA from 1 species
CCGAGUGAGGGCCUCCGGGCCCGACCUCCAACCCUUUGUGAACACACCCGUUGCUUCGGGGGCGACCCUGCCGUUUCGACGGCGAGCGCCCCCGGAGGUCUUCCAACACUGCAUCUUUGCGUCGGAGUCUAAGGAAAUGAAACA